ACAGAGUCUUACUCUGUCGCCCAGGCUGGAGUGCAAUGGCAUGAUCUCAUCUUGCUGCAACCUCCGCCUCCCGGGUUCAAGAAAUUAUCCUGCCUCAGCGUCCCGAGUAGCUGGGAUUACAGUUGUGUGCCGCCAUGCCUGGCUAAUUUUUGUAUUUUUAGUAGAGACAGGGUUUCACCAUGUUGGUCAGGCUGGUCUCCAACUCCUGACCUCGUGAUCAGCCCGCCUGAGCCUCCCGAAGUGCUGGGAUUACAGGCAUGAGCCACCACGUCCAGCCACAAGCUACUAGGUUUUCGACUCUGCACAGCUCAGCUCUUGACAAGGUCUUGCUCGAUAACCUAGGUUGGAGUGCACUGGCCUGAGCACAGCUUUCCACAGCCUCAACCUCCUGGGCUCAAGAGAUCCUUCCAUCUCAGCCUCCCGAGUAGCUAGGUCUACAGGUACGUACCAACACGCCCAGCUAAUUUAUUUUAUCUUUUAUGUAUUUAUGAAGAUGGGAUCUCACUAUGUUGCCCAGGCUGAUCUCAAACUCCUGGCCUCAAGCAACCCUCCUGGGUCAGCUUCCCAGAAUGUUAAGAUUACAGGCAUGAGCCUCUGCAUCUGGCCAAAAUGACUUCCUGUACUCAUAAUUUUUAAACAUUCUUACUGAGAGAUACUUC
rnacentral:lncRNA from 10 species